UAGGGAAUCUUCCACAAUGGGCGAAAGCCUGAUGGAGCAACGCCGCGUGUGUGAUGAGGGUUUCGGCUCGUAAAACACUGUUGUAAGAGAAGAAUGACAUUGAGAGUAACUGUUCAAUGUGUGACGGUAUCUUACCAGAAAGGAACGGCUAAAUACGUGUCAG
rnacentral:rRNA from 1 species